ensembl:lncRNA
GUUUCUUAAUACAUCAAAUCAGAGGUAGACAUCACACUAUAAACAUGGUGCUUUUCCACCUACAAUGCCCCAAUUGAAAAGAAUAUUUAAGCACUGUGGAAACAAAAAAAAAAAACUUCUGGAAAAAUAUAUGCAUGAACUACCAAACAACGUUAUUUCUGUGGCUUACAUAAACAGACCUACAUCUCAGUUUAGUCACUACACCCGUAAAGGGAACAUAGACUCGGUAGUAUGAUCUCAAACUUCCGAGCUCUGUGUAAAACCUGUCCCCACGUGCUUGCACUUGCCGUUUGUUUGGCCCCAGGGUAAUCCAGGCUAGGAAGCUAAACUAACAGGAGGAAGAAAAGGUUUUUUUUCUUCCAUUUAGCUCCUUGAACUGGCUUGCUGUGAGGUCAGACAGAUGCUGCUGCUGGUAUAAGCAAAUCAGCAGGAGCAUAUGGCUGGGGGGAAGGGAAUGAACAAGACUGCCCUACAGAAGGAUGGAGACUACAGUAAACGCUUGGGGAGCGCUUCAGUCUCGGCGAGGAAAAGCACAGUGACAGUUCUAAGUGUUAAGGGGAUCAUCUUGUUUCUAUCUACAGAAGCAUGUAAAAUACAUGCAUAUCUCCCAGCGGUUUUGGAGAAUUUACUCAGCGUGUUAACAGAAGAGAUGGACUGUUAAACAGCUGUGGGAUUGACUUGAUUUCAUCCAGGCAUCUUCUGUGCCAUAAGGGCUGGCUGAAUGCAGAAGCUUAUACUUUCUGUUGCCAGAUGCAUGCAGUACAGCUGGAUGCUGAGCAGAUAGGUUGCUAACAUGGGUUCCCUGGGAGCCAGCACAGACUGAGCAGGAGUUCAGUUGUUGCAUCACUCAUCUGCAGAGGGGGAGAGCUGAUCUACCUUACCGUGUUUAAUCUUUAUGCUGACACUUGAGGCAGCCACAUCAGUGUUGACUCAUUGAGCUUCCAGCCGCGGGCAGACAUUCAGAGCUGCUUUGUCAAGUGCCUGCAGAAGUAGAGGACAUGAGAGUGCAAGCAAAGAACUUCUGCUGCUGUUUGUAAAGCAAAGAAGGCAGCGGCACUCACAGACACCCUUGUGAUCACCA